UGCGGCGGCAGCCUGGAGAUCGUCCCCUGCAGCCGCGUGGGACACGUGUUCCGGAAGCAGCACCCCUACACGUUCCCGGGGGGCAGCGGCACGGUCUUCGCCCGAGAAAGAAAAAAACCAUCGGUCUCGUUACCAAAGGUAGCACCCCUACCAUUUGUUGACUCCAUCCCUCCCCCCUACCCCCUCUGCGUUCCUCCUUCCCCUGGCCACUGCCUCCACAUGCACACCUACUGUGUGCUAUUGUCUGUAUGGUAAUGAAUUGUCACCCAGCAGCCCCUCCUGACAUCGUCCAUGGCAGCGUGCGGGUGCACACAGCAUGUGUGAUGGCCGCAAGCCAUUCAUUUGUUCACAUCCUGCUGGUGGUCAUGCAGUUCCUGGCUGUCCUGCCAUUACAAAGAGAGCCGAGAGAAAAGAAGUUAUUCUGAAAGGUGAACAGUGCCCCCCUGGUGUGUUUGGGAAGAACGGAAGGCCUGCUGUACGUGUUCUUAAGGACAAUUGGCUGUAAACCCGAGGUAGGAAUCUACUGUGACUGAGUCCGGUGUCCGGGUUCAGGUUCUGUGGAGGGUUCUCUGUCAUGCUGCUUCACAUGUGCUCCAAAGAGAAGGUUGGCAGGAUAAGACACUGAUGCCUGUGCAUAAAGGACAGCCUUUAAUGCGUGUCAUAUAUUCAUAAGUCGCUUGUGCCAGGGGCUUAUCGAUCACAGUUCUCUCCAUGAUUGAGAUCUGAGCAUGUGGUUUUCUUGCCUUCUAGAAAAGCCCCAUUCCACCUGUGCCCCUCCAGCACAGUGCAGUAGGAAUCCCAGAUGUGCGGCAUAAAGCCACUCUCCUUGACCAAACAGGAUACCCUCUCUGCAGGAAAAAAAAAGUCAUUUUAAUAGUAGCACUUACCUCUUUUAAUUUUUUCCCAGAGCUGUCUAGUAGCGUUACAGCUCUAACAAGGCCGUAGAGGCCCAGGGUUUCUCAGCUCUGCUCUCUGGGACCAGCCUUCUGUGGAUGUAUAAUACGGGUUAUUGCAGGGUAAGCCUCCUUCCUCCUUGAUGGUACAACUCCAGUGCCCUCUUUCACAUACCUGCCUGUGCCACGUUCUCCCUCUGACUUUUCACCUUUGACAGUCCAUGUUCUGUGAAAGACAAGUUCUGUGGGUUCAGUAAAGACUGAACACCAGCUACCCACACAUACAGCCCAGGAUGCCAGGCAGGGACGGCCUGCUCUCUGUAUCACUGCCAAAGCUGUCAGCCCCCCUGGGAGGACCUUCCCAAGUGGCGCCCCAAGCAGACAAGUGGAAGAGAUGCCGACAGGAAGGAAACGGGUCAAGCUCAAGGUGAUGUACUUUGU